rnacentral:rRNA from 1 species
CUACGGGACGCACCAGUAGGGAAUCUUGCGCAAUGGGCGAAAGCCUGACGCAGCCAUGCCGCGUGAAUGAUGAAGGUCUUAGGAUUGUAAAAUUCUUUCACCGGGGAAGAUAAUGACGGUACCCGGAGAAGAAGCCCCGGCUAACUUCGUGCCAGCAGCCGCGGUAAUACGAAGGGGGCUAGCGUUGCUCGGAAUUACUGGGCGUAAAGGGCGCGUAGGCGGACAGUUUAGUCAGAGGUGAAAGCCCAGGGCUCAACCUUGGAAUUGCCUUUGAUACUGGCUGUCUUGAGUUCGGGAGAGGUGAGUGGAAUGCCGAGUGUAGAGGUGAAAUUCGUAGAUAUUCGGCGGAACACCAGUGGCGAAGGCGACUCACUGGCCCGAUACUGACGCUGAGGCGCGAAAGCGUGGGGAGCAAACAGGAUUAGAUACCCUCGUAGUC